GGGCGGGGCCUGGAGACCCGAGCGCCCGGGGGGCGGGGCCUGGCCGCGCGUGGGCGUGGCGGUCGGGCGUUGUGGUAGAGGAGACCCGUGGCGGUCGGUGGCCGUUGGCUUGGCGGUUGGCAAGGCUCGGAACUGUGGACUCGUGCCCGGGGGCGGGGUCAUUCGUAUCCGCUCUCUGAACCGCCGCCACCCCAAGCUGCAAAGAGCUUCAGCUCCAGCGCGGUUAAUCCGUAGAGAGAGGCCAGAGAGCAUGGCCAGACCCAACAGACGAAGCCACAGGGAGGCCAGUUGAGACUUGACUGAAGAAGGUAAGGACCGAGGGGCUGAGCACCCCAUGCCUGGGAUCCAGCAGUCAUUUGCCAGGAAGGCUGAGCCCCGGGGUGGCAAGAGCGUGGUUUUGGAAAGGAGAAGUGUCUCUGCUUCUGGCGUAGAGUUGGUCAUUUAUUUUUUUUAAUUUUUUUUAUUUUUAUUUAUUUAUGAUAGUCACAGAGAGAGAGAGAGAGAGAGAGAGAGAGAGAGAGAGGCAGAGACAUAGGCAGAGGGAGAAGCAGGCUCCAUGCAGGGAGCCCGAUGUGGGACUCGAUCCCGGGUCUCCAGGAUCGCGCCCUGGGCCAAAGGCAGGCGCCAAACCGCUGCGCCACCCAGGGAUCCCGAGUUGGUCAUUUAGUUCUCCAAGCCCGCACGUCCUCAUUUCUGAACCAUUGGUGAGAAAGCGCUCCGCACAGCAAGGCCGGCGGGAGCUCUGUCCAAGGUGGCGCACCAGGGUGGAGCACAACCAAGGCUGGAGUGUACUCACUGACACCAGAGCUACUCUGUCGACGCUGCACUCCCACAGUGGAAAUCCUUUGAGUACACUGAGCUAA
rnacentral:lncRNA from 12 species